UGUCCGGAAUGACUGGGCGUAAAGGGAGUGUAGGUGGCACAGCAAGUUAUAUGUGAAAGCCCGUGGCUCAACCACGGAACUGCAUAUAAAACUACUGAGCUAGAGUGCAGGAGAGGUAAGCGGAAUUCCUAGUGUAGCGGUGGAAUGCGUAGAUAUUAGGAGGAACACCAGAGGCGAAGGCGGCUUACUGGACUGUAACUGACACUGAGGCUCGAAAGCGUGGGGAGCAAACAGGAUUAGAUACCCUGGUAGUCCACGCCCUAAACGAUGGAUACUAGACGAAGGCGGAUUAAUUCCGUCUGUGUCGAAGCAAACGCGAUAAGUAUCCCGCCUGGGGAGUACGGCCGCAAGGUUGAAACUCAAAGAAAUUGACGGGGACCCGCACAAGCAGCGGAGCAUGUGGUUUAAUUCGAAGCAACGCGAAGAACCUUACCAAGACUUGACAUCGUAUGACCGCCAUAGAAAUAUGGAAUCUCUUCGGAGCAUAUAGACAGGUGGUGCAUGGUUGUCGUCAGCUCGUGUCGUGAGAUGUUCGGUUAAGUCCGGCAACGAGCGCAACCCCUAUUAUUAGUUGCCAAUAUUAAGUUAGGAACUCUAAUAAGACUGCCGUGGAUAACACGGAGGAAGGUGGGGAUGACGUCAAAUCAUCAUGCCCCUUACGUCUUGGGCCACACACGUGCUACAAUGGGCGCUACAGAGAGCAGCGAAAUCGCAAGGUGGAGCAAAUCUCAAAAAAGCGU
rnacentral:rRNA from 1 species